CCGCAGGCGCCGGCGGCUCGGUCGGCGACUCUGUCGCACUUCGGUGACGUAACCACGCCCCGCGGCGCGUUGCUUGGAAACGGGGACCCAGCCUUUCUCCUCGGCGCUCCGCCCAGACGCUCGCGCUCCGCCCUCACCUGGCGACGAGCUCAUAGGACCCUGGAGAUACAGAAUGGAAUGGCUUCCAGCCUCUGAAUGACACCUGGAUCUGUAUAAAAACCACCUGCAGCAACACCAAGGCUUAUGCAUCACUUCAUGUUCAGUUAAGGGACUUAAAACCAGGCAGACUACAUACAAGGAAGAAAGAUGAGGUUUUAUAGGCUAAGUUGGCAGGUGUGGGAGCUCAUUGGAGACUGUUCAGAGGUGCUCUGACUCCAUGGAUCUGAGGAAGACUGCUUGGGUGACCAUGGAAUCUUUGUGCUUGUCCUUGGACCUUGGUAUUCCUUGAACAUGCAUACCUUUCCCAUCGUGAGGGACAUGGAUCGUGCAGUGCGAGGGACCCCGUCUUCUGCAGCAGGAGGGAACAAAGAAGAGAAUUCAGGGAUUCCUGUUGCUGAAAGGUCUGUUUGCUCCUGCUUAUCCCUCAUCAGCUGGAGCCCAAAGCCCCGCAGAGCUCAAGGCACCACCCUCCCCCCAACAUGUCUCUCAUUACUUUAAUGUUCACACGUCAAAACAUAAAUGCACGGUCCGCUGUGAAGUCAGAGUCAUCUCCUAAUAAUAAAAUCUGGCCAUGCCAUGUGGGUUAUGCCCACCAGUACACCCCACUGCCUGGAGGACAGAGGCUGACAUGCAGCCCCAGCCUUCACACUCUCACACACACACACUCCACAACUCCAUCACACCGUUUCAUCUUCUUUCUCCCAGUCCCCACUCUGCCAGUGCUUUUUUCCACCUGGGCCAUAUUUCUUCCUCUUGCCUGGAGAACUCCUAUUUUUACUUUAAACACUGACCGAUGCCAUCCUUCUGUGAAGGCUUUCUUGAUGCCCUCCAGCAGAAUCAAGGCCCAUGUUCUGUGCUCCUAUAGCAAUUUGUAUAAAACUUUAAAAAGAGUGGUUCUUUAAAUGCACUGCUAUUUAGUUCAGUAAUGGUGCAUUUUAGCCUGGUCCCUGCUCCCUACCCUUCAUCUGUCCCCAGGCUGUUUGCAGUAGCAUCUUCAUGGGAUUCCCUGUCUCUGCUUGUCCCAGUAAUGUAAUCACCACAUCUCAGAGGGAACCUUUUCAGACUACAUAAAUGAUCAGGUCAUCUCCCUGAUUCGGAUCUCUGGUUUCCAUAAUAAAGCCCAAAUUCCUUAGCAUGUACUUCCUAAAAUGGGGGUCCCAAAACAUAAAGACAUAGGGUUUGGGGUCACUCUCACAAAGUGGAGGAAGCUCUUGGCAGCCGGGGUUUCUGUGUCCAUGGUCAGCUGCUACGAUCAGCUACACUGAGAGUCAGACAGUCAUUUGGGGCCAUUUCCAUUUCCUUGUCUUGGGCCCCGUGGGGUCGCUGGAGCAGCUGCUGUGAGGCCUCUAGGCAUCACUGACCUGGGCCAGAGAGCUUUGCUCAACUGGAAACAGGUUCUAGGGCUGCCCUGAUCACUCUGCCUCUGGCUAACAGCCACUGGGGUCCACAUUGCAGGCCCAAGAUGGAAGCAGGCAGCCGGGUCCUUACCAGAGGG